rnacentral:rRNA from 1 species
CAGCAGCCACGGGAAUACGUAUGGGGCGAGCGUUGUCCGGAAUUAUUGGGCGUAAAGGGUACGUAGGCGGUAUUUUAAGUCAGGUGUGAAAGCGUGAGGCUUAACCUCAUUAAGCACUUGAAACUGGAAGACUUGAGUGAAGGAGAGGAAAGUGGAAUUCCUAGUGUAGCGGUGAAAUGCGUAGAUAUUAGGAGGGAUACCGGUGGCGAAGGCGACUUUCUGGACUUUUACUGACGCUCAGGUACGAAAGCGUGGGGAGCAAACAGGAUUAGAUACCCCAGUAGUCCCUGUCUCUUAUACA